UAGGGAAUCUUCCACAAUGGACGCAAGUCUGAUGGGGCAACGCCGCGUGAGUGAAGAAGGGUUUCGGCUCGUAAAGCUCUGUUGUUAAAGAAGAACGUGGGUAAGAGUAACUGUUUACCCAGUGACGGUAUUUAACCAGAAAGCCACGGCUAACUACGUGCCGG
rnacentral:rRNA from 1 species